rnacentral:rRNA from 1 species
CAGUCGCCGCGGGAAUACGAAGGGGGCUAGCGUUGUUCGGAUUUACUGGGCGUAAAGCGCACGUAGGCGGACUUUUAAGUCAGGGGUGAAAUCCCGGGGCUCAACCCCGGAACUGCCUUUGAUACUGGAAGUCUUGAGUAUGGUAGAGGUGAGUGGAAUUCCGAGUGUAGAGGUGAAAUUCGUAGAUAUUCGGAGGAACACCAGUGGCGAAGGCGGCACACUGGACCAUUACUGACGCUGAGGUGCGAAAGCGUGGGGAGCAAACAGGAUUAGAUACCCCCGUAGUCCCUGUCUCUUAUAC